rnacentral:tmRNA from 1 species
GGGGACGUUUUGGAUUUGACAGGAUGUUCGGUUGAGAUGAAUUGCGAGUCCGAGCGCUGUUCUCGGUUAUCAACGAGCACACUAAAUUAAAUGCUAACAAUGAAAACAACGUAAUCAAAGGCGUAUUUGGCGCUGAAAGAUAUGCAUUAGCUGCAUAGUCUAGAUUACUAUAGCUACUCAUAUUACCCAGCUUGCCGGUGAUAUGGGUCCAUCAUGCAAGCGGCAGUGCAUCGAUGACGGUAGAUGCAUCAAGAUAACCGUUAAAGGUUAGUGUUUCCGCAAAAAACACUUUGGAUUAUAACAAAGGUUAUGAUAUUCCCUGCAUAAUCCGAGAGAAUUAAUAUCUACACUCGUAGAAGUUUGUCAAGAUCCAUUUUGGACAGGGGUUCGACUCCCCUCGUCUCCAGUU